rnacentral:lncRNA from 1 species
CCGACCAUUUCACCAUGGGAACCAGACAACCAAAAAUAAACUAAGUAAACAAAUGACAUAGAAGUUGUAUCUACGCAAUGAGCAUUGAAAUUUCCAAAGAAACAAGUUUCGUAACAAGAUGGAUGGAAUAAACUAUGAAAGUUGACAGCACACCUAGACCUCACCAAUGGUGUGAUGCCUUAGCACCUUUGGCUGCACUUGGACAGCACACCUUGUACCCCUCAACCACAAUCAUCUAGAAUUUGGCUAUUAUCCUAUGCACUUUUUGUCCAUUUAGAUGCAAAGUCUCUUUUCAGAUGUAAUGCCCUGAAAACAUUUGAUUAGUAUAUAUGACCCACUUUGAGCAGCAUCAGAUGGAAGAGUCUUUCCCUAAGGAAGGAAAAAAGAAAAGAAAAGAAAAGAAAAGGGAAAAAAUAGUUCAUGAAAGAUGCAAAACUUCCAAGAGACAUGGUUUCAUAAGCAAAAUAGAUUCUUAACAAGCAAUGCUACAUGAAACCUUCAAUGCUUAAAUUAUUAUUACUAAUUUUGAAAUAUAGCACCAUGCAUCAUUUCCGUUCUACAUUCUAACUAAUUUAUGAACAGUGGAUUAUGCAGACCGAGUCAUUGCUUUUCCCUUCAAAAAUUUUCACUUAACUUUGCAUUGCAUCAGCAUCCCCACUGUGAUGUCCGGCAUCUGGAACUUUUAAUGUGGGCAAUCGGGUAACAAAAACUAUAGAUAGAAAUUUUAAUGUGGGCCAUCUUUGCCUUCAAGAAUACUCCUUACCUUCCAUUGCUGUGAAGUCGUCACAGAUUCUAUAUCAGCAAGAAAAUCCUAUCCAAAAGGUUUGUGUAGUCAUAAUUAUCUUAUCCAGAUAUCAUUUCCCAUCGAGCAAUACUAGACUAGAUACAAUGCUCCCAAACAACUAGCAAGAAUCAAAGUUAGCUCCUCAGAACUUCCGCCUAUAUGGAAGGCCAACACCCAGGCACAUGACCAUCUAGUUUUACUGCUAAAACUGAUUAAUUAGGCACAAAUCCUGAUUUUUCAUUAUUCCCUUUGAGUGUUGGUUUUAGUUAUAAAAAAAAAAUCCAUCUUUCCUCAAUUUAAUAGACUAAGUCGUUGGGUGUAGACUGUAGACCAAUUUCUACAAGUAAAGACAGGAGUCAUCCUACCAUCUCCGUCUGUAUUCAAAAGUAACAGUUUAAAGAAUUCCAGCCAUAUGCUGAGAGGUUAGCUAUUUUGCCCACCAUUCAACUCUUCUACUUAUAAAAAAUGGAGAUCCAUAUGCAUGUCCCUUCAGAGUUCAGACCAAUGGAGAGCUCCAUUUGGACGCGUGUAGUUUAAGUUUUUUUGUUUUUGGCUCAUAACGUUAUUUUAAGUCAAGACUCCUCUGUAGUUGCGUAGUAUGUGGGCACCUUUUUGAUGUACUAGUAUGUGAACACUUAUUUUGAUGGAAAAAAAACAUUAGAAAUUUAUACCUAGGCCUUGGCUGAUAUCAACCCCUGUACCAAUGUUUAAUAGGUCAAUGGUUAAGUCAAGCCUCCUGCUUUUCAUCAUUUUCCAGUCUUGGAGCCCCAAGAUACUUCUCUCACAUAACAAAUCAGAUUACUUAAAAUUCAAAGAUAGGCAUUACACAGCCCCAAACUUGAUCCAAGUGCCUGAACUGACCUAAUGCAACAUGUUUUAUUGGUCCUUGGAAAUUACCAAGUACAUAAAUAACCUACUUGUAACUCAUGCUUCAAUGGCCUAUCAAGUAAGUCCACACUUAUCAAUUAUACUAUUAUGAAGCAGUCCUAGAUUUAGAACCUUUCAAGCAGCAUUCAUACAACCCAAGCAUGUAUCUUGGCACUCUCUCUCUCUGAAACCAUGCCUUCUAGAACAUUAAAGUGUUGCCUUAUCUAAUGUUAAGAUUCAUAUAAAGAAUGCCAUAGUGAGGAAAAAUCUUCAAAGAUAAGUAUGUCAUUUUUUUUCGAGAUAACAUCAGUAUAUAAAUCUUUCAUUUAUAUUCUAGAUUCAGAGCCUUGGUUAUAAAACAAACAUUAAGCGAGCAUUUGAGAGGGAGUUGCGUAAGAUACUGGGCUAGUUUAGACUAUCAUCAUUAAUUUAAGUAGAAAAAGUACUGAUCGGUCGCAACUCUAAUAAACUUUUCAACGAAAUGUAAUAUUCUGUCCCCAAAUUUGUCCAAAAGAGGGUCACCAUCAUAACGACCUUCACAUGCAUUUCUUUUUCCCCUCCAUUUGGCACCCUUAGCAUAGUUUUAAUUCUCCUAGCCUCUAUUUCUUUUCCCCCCUCCAUUUGGCACCUUCAGCAUAGUCUACUCUUUCUAGCCUAUCUUAUAGAUAAUGAAAGCAACCCACCAUACAUGAUGAUAUCCAUCCAUUAGACCAAGACGAUCAAUUUCAUGCAACAAUGGGAGGAAGAGAAGGUCCCACUCCCAUGGCAACUCACCCAAAAAAAUCCUCCAAGUUCCAAUUUUCAAAGGACCUAUUUUUCUUUUACCUCUACUUUUGUAUCGGACUAAGGAACUCAAAUAAUACCUUCUGACUAGCCACUUUAUAUGUAAGUCGGGACCCGUCAUAAACUCAUAAUUAUCUCCCCAAAUCAGAGGUCGUUGGAUUAAAAGAGAUCAAUUUCCUUUCUCAUAGUUAUCCACCGGCUCACUCUUUUUGUCCCUUAGCGAGUUCAGUUGUGCCCACGGUGACCACUUCUCCAUCAUAUCGUAUGAUUCUAGAAGCUUUUGCCGGUUCCUCCAAAGCCCUCUCUAAUGCCCCCCAACACCAUCCCAUGUUCCAAGGCAUUAAUUUACGCAAAUCAAUGAAAUAUUUUUUUUCUCAUAUUAGUCCGAUUCCUCUACGAGCCUAAUCCUUUUGAAAUUGUCGCCACUCCCCCCACCUCACUCUCUACAAAGUCCCCUCUCUCCCCUUCCACUUCUUCCCUACUUAAACCCCAAGUCCCCAACCCCAUCCUUCCCAUUCCUAAGCUUUCCCCACCACACACUCAUAGAAAGAUUUUAUCAAGAGCUAGUGGAUUAAGAGACAUACAGAUUUAGAUAGAGUAAACCCCACAAAAUCUAUAAAUAGAUAUACAGAUAGGGGUGGUAUUAGAAUGAGAGAGUGUUGUAGUAAUAAGAGAGAAAGAGAGAUGGGAGGAGAAGAAGAGAAGGCUUUGAUUCCGGGCUUACCGGAUGACAUAGCUUUGGACUGCCUCGCCCGAGUCCCCCACCGAUUCCACUCGAGCCUCCGUCCCGUUUGCCGGCGAUGGCGGGAUCUGGUCACCGCCCC